AAUGAGCCACAAAUUCCCACAGCUGUCGCCUGCUCUCACAACAGCAACCAAACGACCCCUCCAUUCUUCUUCUUCGACUAGUGGCAACAACACAACCAUAUCUCGACCCCUCGUCUCAUCAUACCCCACGCCAAAUGACCCACCAUCUUCAACUCCAAGCAGCAGCCGCCAACUUUAGAACCAAGAACACCAUAGCCGCCCAAACUUCCAGCCGGAGACAGCAGCAAAACCACAAGGCAACACUCGCAACAACACCCAGCAUGCCGCUGCAGCAGCCGUGACGCUCUCCAAAAUUAACAAACUAUCAUUGCUGCUGCCUCACCUCUCAUUCAUGACCACCCCAGCAGCACCCUCUUCCCUUCAUUAUUCUUUCCUUUAUCUUCCCGCUGCUAUAAACAAAACAGAACAAAAAUAAAGAACGAAAUAGAUUGGCACAAAACAGAUUCAAAGGUGUCGAGAGAGAGAGGAGUUUCUUCUUGAUUUUUCAAUUAUCCAGAUUCCAAUUUUUAGUUUGGAUUCCAAAAUUCUUUUAUAUGGUUCUGCUCUUGUCGAUUCAAAAUUUUCGGAUUUUAGAUAUGAGCUUUUAUUGAGCCAGGGCAAAGUUCGAGCUUGUCAUUAUUGUUGAUCGCCGUUCGAGUUUCCUGUUGGGGUACGUUGUUUUCCAUUAAAAGCUUUGUUGAGAUUCAUUAUUCCAGAUCCAUUGGUCGCUCAAUUUUGCUCUAAUACGUUGCUAUAACUACUGGAAUUUUCAUAUUUAAAAGGAAGCUUCAGGUUCAACUCUCUUCCUCGUUCCUAAUUUUGGUUUGAAUCUAUAUGGUGAUAAGUAUGUUACUGACCUUUUGCCUAUAUGUUUGCUUUGAUGUGGUG
rnacentral:lncRNA from 1 species